rnacentral:tRNA from 1 species
AACGUAGCUCAGGCGGUAGAGCAAUUGAUUCGUAAUCAAUAGGUCGCGAGUUCGAGUCUCGCCGUUA